rnacentral:rRNA from 1 species
GUGAGGAAUAUUGGUCAAUGGACGGAAGUCUGAACCAGCCAUGCCGCGUGCAGGAAUAAGGUCCUAUGGAUUGUAAACUGCUUUUAUUCGGGAAUAAACCUCUUUACGUGUAGGGAGCUGAAGGUACCGAAGGAAUAAGCACCGGCUAACUCCGUGCCAGCAGCCGCGGUAAUACGGAGGGUGCAAGCGUUAUCCGGAAUCAUUGGGUUUAAAGGGUCCGCAGGCGGGCUAUCAAGUCAGAGGUGAAAUCCCACAGCUUAACUGUGGAACUGCCUUUGAAACUGAUGGUCUUGAAUUAAGUGGGCGUUGGCGGAAUAUGACAUGUAGCGGUGAAAUGCAUAGAUAUGUCAUGGAACACCGAAAGCGAAGGCAGCUAACGAUACUUAUAUUGACGCUCAUGGACGAAAGCGUGGGUAGCGAACGGGAUUAGAUACCCGUGUAGUCC